CACCAGCGCCACGAGUGGCUAUCGCGAUUAUUGGGCCUAAAGCGUCCGUAGUCGGUUCUGUGCAUCUUCUGUGAAAUCGCAACGCUCAACGUUGCGGCAUGCGGGAGACACGGCAGAACUUGAGACCGGGAGGCGUGUAGGGUAUUCCACGGGGACCGGUAAAAUGGUAUAAUCCGUGGAGGACCACCUGUGGCGAAGGCGCUACACGAGAACGGAUCUGACGAUGAGGGACGAAAGCCAGGGGAGCAAACCGG
rnacentral:rRNA from 1 species